rnacentral:lncRNA from 1 species
CAUGUUGCAGCAGAACAAAGGUUGGGGAAAAAAAUGUAUACAUGUAAGGAUAACUUGAUCCCCUUGCUGUACAGUGGAAAAUAAAAUAAAAAGAAAAAGAAAAAGUUUGUCUCCUCAUGCCUAGAAUCUAUAAAGCUACAAACAGUGGUGAUGUCUGGGCCACACUUAUAUCAGUCCCUGGGCCAAGAAGACCAGAAAAGUUGAUGCUUCCUCCAAAAAUGUGAAAAAGCAUCAAGAGGGGGGAAUGUAGGAGAAAACAUCCCAAUAAAAAUAUAGAAAGAGAGACCCUGGCCAUGAUGCCUAAGCAAAGUCUAACCAACUGCCCCAACCCUCCCUCCUCCACACAUGUGCUUCUGUAAAUUUGUUUCCACAUCUACUACCUUGCCUGACAUCACUCAGGUCCAACUAGCCAAGCAUGGACACAGAAGAGGUAGCCCAUAAGAGCCUUGUGAAACCCUUCUUCAGGGCUCAGACUCUGGAGAUCGAUCUCCUCUGAGCCUGCCAGUGUAAUAAACCUGAGUUCUCCAACUCUCCGAGUGCUCGCUUGGUGUCUUGCCAGGUAAAAGAGCUGAUCCACUGCAGCCACAGAGGUGCUGGAGCUAGUAUGCUACAGCCACAGGGCUGUCACCAGAGCUGAUAUGCUGUGGCGCAGGGAGUCUGGGUAGCUGAGGUAAAAUGAUUAGUAUUUAAAUACGUCAAAAAAAGAAAGAAAGAGAAUUCUUUUCAGGUGACCAGACACCACUGAUCAAAUGCAGUAGAUAUAAAGUGAGACAAGGUGAAAAUGAAACUGAUCUCUGAAGUGAAAAAAGGAUAAGGAGAAGAGCUAUAUUUGGGGGGUACUCAAUGGUAGCAACUCAAUGCACUACAAUGAUUAAAGUCCAACCUAUAGUCAUGGUCACUGUCUAUCUGUGUUACCAGUUUAUAAUCUUUCUCUUCUUUGGAUUAAUAUUCCUCAGUCUUCUCAUUCAUCUGCUUUCAUUUCUCCCUAAAAUACUCAAGUACUUUUCUCAUUAACCUCACAACUCCCAAGUUAUUUACCAUAUCACUGGGUCAUAUGCCCUUCUAGCAUCACUCUUCCUCUUGAGCUCUAGCUUCACUGACCUAUUUUCUGCUUCCUAGAAUGAGAUAAGAUUCCUCACACCACAGACUUUUCCACAUGCUAUUCCCCUUGCCUAUAACACUCUCCCCUUCUCUAGCCUCCCCUUCACCAAGUUAAUUUUUACUCUUCCUUUAGAAAUUAUGCCAGUAAUCAUGUCUUCAGGGAACCUGUCCUUCACCCAUUGUUCAGGUCGUAUCCACUUAUUUCAUCAUGUUGUUACAGCAUCAUGGACAUUUUCUUUAUUGUAUUCAUCUCAGGUAUAAGUUUACAUGCUGUUGUCAAUUUUUUUAAAUUUGUGUGAUAAUUUGAUUAUCGGUCUCUCCCAAUUGCAAACUCCAAGAGGAUAGGGUCUAUAUCUGCUUAAUUCAAAAUUAAUAUUAGCAGUAUUCUAAAAAACUUCUCUCUUGCCUAAGCAGAUCAGUAGUGUUUCUUGUUUUCUUUUGUUUUGUUUUACUCAUUAGCUGAAAACAUGUGCCAUUUCAUGCAUUUACAAACAAGUUCACAUCAAGGUGUUAUUUUAGAACAAAGAGUACAAAGAUAUAAAGCAAAAAAAAAAAAUCUAUGAACAAGAAAGUACUGAAGCUUAUCCACUACAUUUCCUUUUGCUCUCACCUCAUAAUCCUCACUGAACAUUCUGGUUCUGCUUAUUCUAAUAUUUGUGAGGUAGAAGAAGCAAAAUGAAAGGUUUUCCAAGGUUUUCUCCAAACAGCUAGUUUAUAGCCACACAACUUUGUUCAAAAAGUCCUUUGAAAAAAGCCUUCAUUGAGUUGCUGAUGCCUUUGCUACUGUGUGGGAAAUGAAUAUGUAGCUGAAAAAGUGCAUUAAACUACCUAGGGUGGUAUACAUUUCUAUUCUAUCUGGUUGAAAAGAAAGUAAAAUAUGACUAACUUCCAACUGGGAAUUUACACACUUGAAAAUGAACAGCCAGAUGCUUAAGACCUUAACACUCCAAAACCAAAUCAAUUUUUCUUUCUGCCAAUGAUAUCAAAGGACUGGGUGAAUUCACCCCAAGUGCUAGAGACUCAAAUCUAUGUUAGUUUAUUUAGAAACAGUACAAAUGCAACCAAAGGAUUUUAACUAUGCUUAUGGCUUAGGGUCCAGCUAAAAAUUUUUGUAACUCUCAUAUUCUUUAAAUGAACAUAGUGCCUAUAUAAACCUGGGCAGUGUUCUAUGAAGGGAAGCCAUUUAAUAACUCAUGUUGCAUUAAUUAGCAGAUGUCUUGAAAACUUUCAGAAAACAAAACAAAAAGGCUAGAUCCUGAAUCUCACAGACUUUCUUUUUUAAUACAGUCUUUUGUUUCAAUGGGAAGAAGGGACCACAAAUUAAGUUCCAAACCAGUUCAUAACACUGGACACUAGAUCACUGAAAGGACAGAAAAUAUUUUAGUCAAGCACAAUCUCUGGAAGAUUUUUUUUAGUUCAUCCUUCAUGUUCGAGCACCAUCACCUCUUAGUUGUUGAUCUAGCAACUGGGAUUUCCUUCUCACUAACUGAACAGGCUUAGAUAAUAGUAAGUACCCACUGCUAUAGGCAGGGUUAUGUUUGGAAAAUAUGAAUUUUUUUACCAAAGAACUUUGUAAAGCAUCCAGAAGCCUUGAAUGUUUGGUAUAGGGGAGAAAAAUUUCGAGGUAAUAAUAACUGCAAUAAAAAAUUUUAGUGGAGCAUUAAUAUAUGGCAGACAAUACUUCCCAUGCUUUAUCUAUAUUAUUUUGCCUAAUCUGCACAACAACUUCAUGUUGUAGUUAGUUAUUAUUCCUGCUUUAUGCUUAAGAAAAAUUAGGCACAGAAAGGUUAAGUGACUUGCCCAAAGCCACACAGCUAGUGAUUCAUCCAUUAAUUCUGAGAAUUUCUGGGCUAAUAAUCCUUAUCAUAUCUUCUUUUCAGAGAGGUCUCACAAUUCUACCCAAAUUAUCUUGUUCAUGAGCAAACAAAAGGAUCUGUCUUUUGUAAUGCAAACUGCUCACUAGAAGCUGACAAAUCCCACUUCUAAAUUUUGAAAGUUUCUGGAUCUAGAUCUGCUAAUAUGAGGCCUUAAGUCACAGGCUAACUCUCAAAGGCAUAAGGAAAAAAUUUCUCAACCUAAGACAACAAAGCUAAUAAAUACCAAAACCAAAUCAAAGUGAAAAUUUUUGGAACUAUGUUAGCAAAAAUAUGAAGUAGAUUUUGAUAUGUUAAGCUAAAGAUGGGAAAUACAAGAGCAAUCACUAAGAAAGCAACACAAAACAUAGUAAAAAUCAUUGAAACAAUGGAAAAAGUACACUAGAAAAUAGCCAUUCAAGACAACGAUAGAUAGUUAAAGAGGAACAUAGAACAAAAACGGUCAUGAGCCAUAUAAAAAACAAAAUGCAAUAUAGUAUACAAAAUUAAAAACAUAUCAAUAAUAACAUUAAAUAGGAUAGUUUGAACAAUCCAACCAAAAAGCAACUAAAAGAUUAUAAAACUGAAUUUAAAAACAAGAUCUAGCAAUAUUCUAAAACAUACACUUUAGAUCAAAGACACAAAUAGUUUGAAAGUAAAAAGGUAAAAAAAGACAUCUCACAAAAAGACCAAGAAACAAAAAAGAAGCUAGAGUGGCUACACUAAUAUCAGAUAAAGAAGACAAGACAAAAACCUUUCCCUAAGAAUAAAAAGGGAUAUUUUAUAAUAAUAAUAGUCAAUCAAUCAUAAAUAUUUUUAUGAUUAUAAACACAUAUGUACCCAUACACAGAGGCACAAAAUAUAUGAAGCAAUAAUUAUAACUUCCAUAAUUCAAGGCAGAAAUAAACAUUUCAAUGAUAAUAGUUGGAGACUUCAACACUUCACUUUCAGGAACUUUCAGGAAUAAUGACUAGUGACUAGUCAGAAGGACAGGGAUAUAGAAUAAUUGAAAAAUACUAUACACCAACUAGACAUAAUAGAACUAACAUUUCUAUAAAAUGCCACACUCAACAACAGUUAAUAUACAUUCUUUUAAAGUGCAAAUGGACUAUACUCUAGGAUAGACAAUAUGCAGGGCAUAAAACAUACCUCAAUAGAUUUAACAGUAUUAAAAUCCUACGAAGUAUGCUGACAGUUCCCAUUGGAAUUAAAUUAGAAAUCAUCAACAGAAAAAAAUUAGUACUUUAUUUAAGGGUGCAUAUUAAACAAUACACUCCUAAAUAAUAGUAGGUCAAAAAAGAAUCGUGACAGAAAAAGGAAAAUACUUUAAUAUGAAUAAACAUGAAAAAUCAUACCAAAACUUCUUAUAAUUGAAGUAUAGUUGAUUUACAAUAUUAUGUUAGCUUCAGGUAUACAAGAUAGUGAUUCACAAUUUAUAGAGAUUAUAUUUAAUGUAUCAUUAUUAUAAAAUAUUGGCUGUAUUCCCUGUGCUGCACAAUAGAUCCUUGUUGUUUAUUUAUUUUAUAUAGUAGUUUGUAUCUCUUAGUCCCCUACCCCUAUCUUGCCUCUCGUCCUUUCCCUCAUCCCACAGGUAACCACUAGUUUGUACUCUAUAUCUGAGAUCCUGUUUAUGCUUUGUUAUAAUCAUUCCUUUGUUUUAUUUUUUAGAUUCUACAUACAAAUGAUAUAAGUAUUUCUCUGACAUUUCACUAAGCAUAAUAACUUCUAGCUCCAUCUACAUUGUUGCAAAUGGCAGAAUUUCAUUCUUUCUAUGGCUGAGUAUUAUAUAUUAUAUAUAUGCCACAGCUUCUUUAUACAUUCAUUUGUUGAUAGUUACUUAGGUUGCUUCCAAUCUUGGCAAUUUUAAAUAAUGCUGCUAUGAGUAUUGGGGUCUAUGUAUCUUUUCAAAUUAGUGCUUUCAUUUUCUUUGGAUAUUUCUGGCUCAUAUGUUAGUUUUAUUUUAGUUUCUUGAGGAACCUCCAUUUUAUUUUCCACAGUGACUGCACCAAUUUACAUUCUCAUCAACAGUGUAUGAGGGUUCCCUAUUCUUCAUAUUCUCAUCAACAUUUGUUAUUUCUAGACUUUUUUUAAUGGCCACACUGGCGGCAUAUUGAAUUUCCCCAAUCAGGUACUGAAUCUGAGCCUCAGCUGCAACCUCAGCUGUGGCAAUGCUGGAUCCUUUAACCCUCUGCACGGGGCCAAGUGUCAAACACACACCUCUCCAGAGACCAGAGCCACUGCAGUAGAAUUCUUACUCCACUGUGCCACAGUGGGGACUCAUCAUUUGUAGACUUUUUUAUGAUUGCCAUUGUGAGAGGUGUGAGGUGAUAGCUCAUUGUGGUUUUAAUUUGCCUUUCUCUGAUGAUUAGUGAUGUUGAACAUCUUUUAAGGUGCCUAAUGGUCAUCUGUAUAUCUUCUUUGGAACAAUGACUAUCCAUGUCUUCUGCCCGUAUUUUUAAUUGUUUUUGUCUUUUUAGAGCUGCACCCACAGCAUAUGGAAGUUCUCAGGCUAGGAGUCCAAUCAGAGCUACAGCUGCCUACUAUGCCACAGCCACAGCAACACCAGAUCUGAACUGCGUCUGUGAUCUACACCACAGCUUAUGGCAACACAGGAUCCUUAACCCACUGAGCAAGGCCAGGGAUCAAACCUGCAACCUUAUUAUUACUAAUCAUAUUCAUUUCUGCUGCACCACAUCAGGAACUCCUGUUUUUUUGAUAUUGAGUUGUAUGAGAUGCUUAUACAUGUUAGAUAUUAACCCUUUACUGGUCACAUGAAUUGUAAAUAUCUUCUCCCAUUCAAUAGGCUGUAUUCUUGUUUUGUUUAUGGUUUCCUUUGUUAUGUAAAUAAUUUUAAGUUUAAUUAGUUUCCAUUUGUUUAUUUUUGCUUUUGUUUCCUUUAUUUUAGGAGACAGAGGUAAAAAACAUAUUGCUAUGAUUUACAUCAAAGAGUGUUCUGCCUAUGUUCCCUUCUAGAAGUUUUAUGGUUCCAAGUCUUCACAACAUACCAAAACUUACAUGAUAAGCAGUUCUUAGAAGGUAUUUUAUAGCUGAAAAUAACUACUUUCAAAAAGAAUAAAAAUCUUAAAACAAUCAAUAUCCUACCCUUUAACCUUAAGAAACUAAGAAAUAAAGAGCAAUCUAAACACAACCCAACCACAAGGAAGGAAAUGAUAAUAAUUAGAGCAAAUAUUAAUGAAAUAGAGAAUAGGAAAAUAAUAUUGAAAAAUCAAUGAAACUAAAAGUUGGUUCUUUGUCUAGAUCAACAAAAUUGGCAAAACUUUAGACUGACCAAGAAUAUAUAUAUAUAUAUAUAUACAUAUAUAUAUAUAUAUAUAUAUAUAUGACUCGUUACUAAAAAUUGGGAAUGAAAUGGUAAAUAUUACCACUGAUCUUACCAAAAAUAAAAAUUAUUAUAAGGAAUACUAUGAAUAAUUGUAUGCUCACAAAAUGGAGUAUCUAUAAUGAAGAAAUGAAACUGAGGACGAGGUCUAAGAUGAUGGAGUAGCAGGACAUAAGGUUCAUCUACUCCCAAAAUACAUUGAAAAUACAACUAUAUGUGGAACUACUGACACAGAAAAUUUGUGAAAAACUGAUAAAAGACCUCAAGAUUAUGAUAAAUAAGAAAUACACAUAGGAC